rnacentral:rRNA from 1 species
UACGUAGGGUGCAAGCGUUGUCCGGAAUUAUUGGGCGUAAAGAGCUCGUAGGUGGCCUGUCGCGUCGGCUGUGAAAACUCGGGGCUCAACUCCGAGCUUGCAGUCGAUACGGGCAGGCUAGAGUUCGGCAGGGGAGACUGGAAUUCCUGGUGUAGCGGUGAAAUGCGCAGAUAUCAGGAGGAACACCGGUGGCGAAGGCGGGUCUCUGGGCCGAUACUGACACUGAGGAGCGAAAGCGUGGGGAGCGAAUAGG